UACGGGGGGAGCAAGCGUUGUUCGGAUUUACUGGGCGUAAAGGGCGCGUAGGCGGCCGCGCAAGUCUGGCGUGAAAGCCCCGGGCUCAGCCCGGGAAGGGCGCUCGAAACGGCGCGGCUCGAGUGCCGGAGGGGAGAGUGGAAUUCCUGGUGUAGCGGUGAAAUGCGUAGAUAUCAGGAGGAAUACCGGUGGCGAAAGCGACUCUCUGGACGGCAACUGACGCUGAGGCACGAAAGCGUGGGGAGCAAACAGG
rnacentral:rRNA from 1 species